GACGAACGCUGGCGGCGUGCUUAACACAUGCAAGUCGAACGAAGAGCGAUGGAAGCUUGCUUCUAUCAAUCUUAGUGGCGAACGGGUGAGUAACGCGUAAUCAACCUGCCCUUCAGAGGGGGACAACAGUUGGAAACGACUGCUAAUACCGCAUACGAUCUAAUCUCGGCAUCGAGGAAAGAUGAAAGGUGGCCUCUAUUUAUAAGCUAUCACUGAAGGAGGGGAUUGCGUCUGAUUAGCUAGUUGGAGGGGUAACGGCCCACCAAGGCGAUGAGCAGUAGCCGGUCUGAGAGGAUGAACGGCCACAUUGGGACUGAGACACGGCCCAGACUCCGACGGGAGGCAGCAGUGGGGAAUCUUCCGCAAUGGACGAAAGUCUGACGGAGCAACGCCGCGUGAGUGAUGACGGCCUUCGGGUUGUAAAGCUCUGUUAAUCGGGACGAAAGGCCUUCUUGCGAACAGUUAGAAGGAUUGACGGUACCGGAAUAGAAAGCCACGGCUAACUACGUG
rnacentral:rRNA from 1 species